AUUGAACGCUGGCGGCAGGCCUAACACAUGCAAGUCGAGCGGAUGAAGGGAGCUUGCUCCUGGAUUCAGCGGCGGACGGGUGAGUAAUGCCUAGGAAUCUGCCUGGUAGUGGGGGAUAACGUCCGGAAACGGGCGCUAAUACCGCAUACGUCCUGAGGGAGAAAGUGGGGGAUCUUCGGACCUCACGCUACCAGAUGAGCCUAGGUCGGAUUAGCUAGUUGGUGGGGUAAAGGCCUACCAAGGCGACGAUCCGUAACUGGUCUGAGAGGAUGAUCAGUCACACUGGAACUGAGACACGGUCCAGACUCCUACGGGAGGCAGCAGUGGGGAAUAUUGGACAAUGGGCGAAAGCCUGAACCAGCCAUGCCGCGUGUGUGAAGAAGGUCUUCGGAUUGUAAAGCACUAUAAGUUGGGAGGAAGGGCAGUAAGUUAAUACCUUGCUGUUUUGACGUUACCAACAGAAUAAGCACCGGCUAACUUCGUG
rnacentral:rRNA from 1 species